UCUGUGUCUCCUCCUGCUCGUCCUUAUCCGCCUCGUCCUCGCCGUCGCCGUCGUGCCACUAACCCUGAAUGCUAGAUUGCAUUCUUUCUGGGAUUGAGGGAGUACUUAUCUGCUGGAGAUGCUCUUGUUUCUGUAUAUUUCCAUAUCCCCUAAACCCAAACCGUAGAUCGAAUCGAGGCUGUGCACGGACCAUUCUCUGGAUCGGAUUUCGCUUCACAUAGCCAGUUAGCCACCAGUACGGUGCCGCCUCGCCGCCGCUCCAUUGUCUGGCAACUGGCGUCGGUGGCGGCAGGGGCAGGGAACCGUGCGGUGACGCCUGACGCGGCUUCCGAGUCGGGUUUCGCCCGAUGCGGCGCCCUGCUGCGUUACUCCUGAUGGAUGGAUGAAUGGAUCAUGGAUACUGCACCCCUGCGGUGCGACGCAGUGGUGAUCUCUUCCCAUGAUGUUGCCUGUGGGAUAUUUAACUUUGGGAACAUAUCGGGUGCAAACCAACCCCUUCGUGCAAACCAUGCAAACUUCAAUCUGGGCCACCGGAUCAACAUCCAAGGGGCACAUCUUCUCUCCUUCUCCCCUGCCUUUUCUUCUCUCCACCCCGCCCACUGUUUACCGCGGCCUCCCACCCGCGGCACAGAGAGAGUGCUAGUUCAAUGUCACAGUUCCUGUGUCUUGCACAUUGAAAAGAAUCAUUGUUACUGCGAGAACUUUGUCGGUGAAAAUAAUCAUCGAUACCACUGGACGUUUGUCGAGAUGUUCUUCAUCCUCGUCGUGGGGGCCUGGGGCAAACCCAGAAUCCGAUUUUAAUCGGGUCUCGGAGAGCCGCUGCCACCAGGGGCGGAUCCAGUAAAGGACAUGGCUGUACACAUGUAUGCCUGAUAAUCUUUGCUUUGCAAAAGGAUCGGCACUUGUAAUUGGAUCGUAUCUGAUCUGAAUACAAAUGUCUUAAGUUUAGGUGCUCGGUUUCGUACAGCAGGAAGGGAGAUGGGUGGGCAUACCUGGUGGGUGCUCGUUGCAGAGAGAGACCUGAUGGCAAAGAGAUCCAGCUAAGAACUCAUCAGACCCCAGAGCUGGAGAGUGCCAUGGCAACAGUUCCUGCAACCAUGGCACCCUCAGCUCUCCUUUUUGUCCACAUAAGAAGGGGGGCUUGUUGAGAUAUAAAGAGCUGGUUUUCUAGACUUGGGCAAAGUACCCUUGUGAAAAAUUUGUUUAUGCCAACCAUGCUGGACAUGGAAAUGGACUCAGACCGAUGAAUAGAGUGCUGACCUGGGGUGAUGAUGUUCAACCUUUUCUGAAUUACUCCCUCCUUCCCCGUUUCUUAGGCGUAUGAGCAAAAUUAACUUUUCUAUAAAUAUAGGGCGCACCCCGUCGCUCAGCAGCUCUUUACCUCGGUAAGCCACGUAAUUAAGCCCCUUGCCAGGCAAAUGGCGCGCGUGGUUGGGUGAGAGAAAGUUUGCUGCGGAGGAAGUUUAAUUAGCGGUUAAACAGAGACGAGAUUCAAGGGGCUGCAUGCCUUCAUGCAAACGGGAGUAAAUGCUCCUUGGUCUCUGGAGUAGGAGGUUAUCCGCCCUACAAAUGUGGAAGGAGGGAGUAUAUGCCAUUUGAGCAAUUGAGGCCUAGUACCUAAUUAGAGCUCACCCUCCCCACUCUUGAAGCCUAUUUUAACCAUCCCUUUUUGUUUGUGGUUCUGCCUAUGCCUAGGAUGGUCAUCCGGAUAUGUGACAACCAGCACAGUUCUACUCACAUUGGGAUGAGUAAGUUGUCCUGCAAGAGAAAUGAGAAGCUGGUUUGCAUUAUUGAGCAAAACCGAUGGUGAGCCCUUUUUUGAUAUGGUUUAUGUUAUGAUUCUUUAUGUCUCUCGUUUUUAUUUUGUACUACUCUUGAGUGGCUAUGAUGGUUCAAAUUUCCAUUAGAUUGCUUCUGCACUCUACCAUCUUCUGAGCUGGUACCUCCCAUUUGCUGCUUAACUAGGAUGGCUAAUACCAUACUAGUUACUACCUCCCGUCCAAAAAAGUAUGCAAUCCUCUCUGUUUGUUGCUUAACUAGGAUGGCUUGUAACUCACUACCUCCGUCCCAAAAAGAAUGCAAUUUUUUUUCUCGAAUGCGCAGGAGAGCUGCGCAUCAAUAUAUUAAGAAGGAAAAAGGAGAAUGCGAUUCAGUCUAUGCAUUUGGACAAGCAUUCCUUUUGGGGCAGUGGUAGCAACAAGUAACCAGUUAUGUGGCUGAGAGGGAGGGAGGGGGAUUACACUGUGCUUCCACUAUAAAUUGCAGUUGAUAUGCUGAUAAUGGUUAAAUCUGAGCCACUCAAGUGAACUCCUUUUUCUUCUAGUACCACUGUAUGAAUACCCACCAUGCACCACCACCACACUACUCCCACAGCAGUUUAAUCUUCUCCUUGAGUUGUUCAUACUUUUAUUCUGUUUUGAAUUUAUAUUUUAGUGUUAUCCUAAACACUAAUGGUAAACAGUCGGUCACCUGCCGUUUAGCCCAUUAUUCGGGCAAAAACGGGUGUUUAAAUGGGCAAAACGGCCGUUUAAACGUUCAAAACAACCGAUAAACGGAAACGGUGUACCACAGUGUAGCGUUUAAAUGGUGUGUAAACGGGCUAAAUGACCGUUUAGGGCUCUAGGCUAACAGUUUUGUGUUCUUAUCUGCUUGUUCUUUUGUGCUCUUUUGCAUGUCCUGUUGAUGCUGUCCGCCUCUACCCUGAUCUAAGGCUGUUCUUCACUUGCCUUCCUGCUGGGUUCGAACCUGCGACCUGGGUCAAUAUUAUUGGGACUGAUAUGCCAAGUCAUUUUCAUCUCUUAGGUUGACAAAGAAAUAAAUUUUAAGUGUGGGGCAAUGAUCAACAACCAUGGCUGACAAAAGUGCCUUUGAGCAAUCAAGGCUGCUAUAUGGGUACCAAACUGGAAUCCUCGCCUUCCUCUCUUCGAAACCUUUUUCAAUUAUCCUGUAAUGAUAGUGGCUUUGUCCUUGGAUGGUCAUGCCCUCUUGAUGUGUGAUAACCAGGGCAGCUCCACUUUAUCAUAUCAGGACAUGUUGAUGUGGUGAUAAGAGAUGGUGGGAUAUGGUUAAAUGACUGAGCAAAGGCGAAGCUGAGCCCCCCCCCCCCCCUCACACACACACACGUACACACAGAGAGAAGGGAAUAAGGAAACACGAUUUUAUGCUGUCUCUUCCCUUUUUUUGUUGAAUAUGUUGUUGCUUCAUGUUUUCUUGUCUAACGUAGAUAUUUCCUGGCUUCAUUCUGUUUGUAUUUAUAUUUGGCUGUUGUGUUUUCUCAAUUACUUCCUUCGAGCCAUCAUAACUAUUGUACCUUGCAGUGUGCAACAUUGAUCCAUUUUGGUAGUUCCUAUGCAUUCCUUUGUUUUUCAGAUAUUUUGUUGUCACUUGUCUGUUGUUGAUAUUCCUUUCUUGUUUGGAACUGCUCUUCAGUGGCUGUGAUUUCAAAUGCCCCAGUCCUAUAGAGCUAUUACUUUUUAGCAUCCUGAAUUGUUACUUUUGGUAUUUUGCUCCACAUACUGCUAAACUAGGAUGGCUUGUACCAUAUACAAGCAACCAGUUUGCAACUAAUUGUUGUCAUUGGUAUGGUGGUAGUGUGGUAUAUCUCCAAAUGAACAAUUCUACUCAAAAGUUCAUUUAGAGAGGGAUGGAGGAGUAUAUGUUUCUUCUGUCAGUGUUGUGUUGAUACCGGGGCAAAUCUGAGCCAUUCAAUGUGACAUUACUCUUUCUGGUCCGUCAUAUACUUUUGUUUAUGAUUCUAUUUCAUUCAUGUAUCCUACCUUUUUCAGUGAUUUCAACUUGGGACCAGGAUUUUAGUACAGAUGGGACCAAUAUGUCAACUUUGAUUUGAUGUCACGUAAGAUUAAUUGGAUGAAUUGCUCAUUUCGUUCUAAAGAAUGGUUUCUUUUCCACAUUCUCAUUUAACUGCUUUAAUUCUUCCACCGCUCAUAAGUGGUUCCCUAAUGUGUCCUUACUUUUGUGGUAUCCCUUUGGACUGCCAGCAUUGGCAUUAGUGGUCCUAAUAGCAUGCCAUGGCCUUGAUGAAUCUUGAUUGAUGAUUCAAAAGGAUAGACAUGUUAAAUCAUUGCCAUGGCAUGGCUGUACUUUUUUGGUCAUGUGUGCGAAAGCUUCUCUAUGCGUGUGCUAUUCACAUGUGUUGUUCAUUUGCGUAUCGAUCGAUUUUCCCAAGUGCGGAAACAUUGGGAGUUGGGAUGAGUUGUUCGAGAGGGCUUUCUUUCAAUCCUGCCAAAAAACAAGAUUGGGAGUGGGUUUUGGGAAUUAUUGGAGAUGCUCUGAUUGGGAGUAGCGGUUGUGUGCCAAAUAACUUGUAAUAAUUAGUUAUUUGGCUCUUUAUAUUCGAAUCUGAUCUAAUUACAAGUGUAUACAUGUAUUAUGCCUACUAACUUUAAUCCCUUUCAAAGAUUAUCAGACAUACAUGUGCACACCCAUGGCCUUUACUGGAUGAGCACAUGUGGUUUUGUGUGCUUUGAUCUGAUUUGCUCUUAAUGUUCCUCGUCCUUCUGCUCAUCCUCCCCACCUCGGUGGCAUUUUGUUAGACAGUGCGAAUGGGAUCAGGAUAUGUGAUGAUGAGAUAUAAAGAGGUGUUUUUUUUUCCGCUUGGGUGGAAGUACCCAGUGGCCAUUGCAAGUGAAACUUAGGGUGACAGUGUAGACAUGGAAAUGGGCCCGAACCUGUGAAUGAAGUGCUGCCGAGGGGCAAUGAUGUUCCACCUUUUCUGAAUUGCAUGCCAUUGAGCGAUUGAGGCAGCUGAGGGUCAUUUGGAUAUGUGACAACCAGCGCAGUUCCACUUACAUUGGAUGAGUAAGUUGUGCUGCAAGAGAAAUGAGAAGUCGGUUUGCAUGAUUGAGCAAAGGUGAUGCUGAGCCCUUUUUCUAUGGUUUAUUUUAUGAUGCUUUAUGACUUUCCUUUUUGUUUUGUACUACUUGAGUGGCUAUGAUGAUUCAAAUUUCUAUUAGAGAGCUUCUGCUCUCUGAAGGAGCUGGGUUUGUUGUCCAUGUCCAUAAGAGACCUUCUGAGCUGGUAUACAAUACAAGUUACUACUUCCAUCCCAAAAAGAAUGUGAUUCUGUCUAUGCACCUGGACAAACAUUCCUUUUGGGGCAGUAGUAGCAACAAGUAACCACUAUGCACCUGAAUCCUAUGAUUUCUUGAACACUGCCUCUCUCAUCUUGAGGUGUAGUGCUUCAAUUCAUAAUUAUAUUUAGUCAAUCUGCUUCGAGCACUGGUUUGCCAGUGGAUUUAAUAUCAAUUAUUAGAUAAAGCGCCAUGUAAAGCCUUAUGUGCAGAUUCAAAGAACACACCGUCAGUCACGAUAAAAGCAUGCCUACACUAAGCCUUUUGGUCGGAUAAUUUUGUUUUUGUGUUCUAGAUUUACAUACAUGAUGGCAAUUGAUUUCAUUACAUCUUGUUACAUCAGUUACUUUGUAGACAAAGGAGGAGGUCCAGAAGUUAAAAUCAUCUGCCCAAGAGAGGAGGAACAUCUAGCCUGCUGCUGAAAGGAGAGACUACUUCAGUGUUCUUUUAACUGCUGAGUUAGAAACUGGUUCAGUCAUUUACUGAGAAUACUAGCCUGAGAAAUAGAACCAAGUGAGUAGUGUAGCUGGUUCAAUCUUCUCUUGUUGCUAAUGGGCAAAGUCUACACCAUUUUCCUUUCUUAUUAUCCAAUCACUUUUGAAGGCUGGUCACAAUUUACAAGGACGACAUGUAUGUAUGAGUAGUUUAUCUGUCGACAGUCAUGCAGAUGGUGCGUGAUGCCCAUCUAAUGAUAAAUGUUCUAAACAACAUUAUUCUUGGAAGUUCCCGACUCCCAUAGCUGUUCAGGUGGUAUAUGUUCCUAAUUGGUGAGCCAAUUAAGCUCAAUUUUGUUCCAUUCCUCACCCAACUUGGUAGCUCUCAAGGAACCACCGAAGGUAACUACAAUCUAGUAUUGUCACCUGACGCUAUCAGAAAUGUUACAGUGUGUCUGCCCGAGAGCGUGGAAAAGCCUAGCUGAUUACAGGUGCUAAUCGACUGGAAUGCAAGUGUGCAACUGCUUUACCAUGUUGGCAGUUCAAUUGUCUGAUGAUUUGUUAGAGCAAGGUCGCGAAAAAAAAGGAAGAAGCAGCUAGCACAGAUUGUGACCAAGUCUGCCUCAGUGGUCAAGGACAAGAAUAUGGUGGUACCAACGACAACGCAAUAGGCAACCAAAGCCAGCGCCACAGAGAAGAAGAGAGAGAGUGCCGGCGACAGAAUCGGCAGAACAUCCUGCUGUUGUCAUUGAGAAGACUGCGGAGAAACGCUCCGGUGCCAAGCCUGGCGUUUAAUGCGCCGUUAUGGAGAAUGGCCGACCGGAACGGCACAACUAUUCCGCUGAGCGUACCCAGAUUAAACAGCAAGACGGCAAGAGUAGGGAAGAUUAUGAGACCUGCCCCGAAUGCCGCGUACAUCCCCACGGAGAAUGCAGGAGCGAUGGCAAACGACGCUGCUACGAGGCAGGCGGCUCCGAAGUAGAGGUGCGAGCGGCGCGACACGUUCUCCGCCGUCGCAAAUCCGGCGUACGUGCAGCAGAAAGUGGCCACGGCCGAGGAGACGAACGCCACGGCGUCGAGGGCAAGGAAUGCUCUGAAAGCAAUGCUCGCCCUCCGUGUCGGAGGGUGCUCGUUGUACCGUGCGGCUACGUUGAAAGGCAGCGCCCGAUGCGUUGAGAAUGAGCACUGCGCAGACGGCCAGUACGCCGGCGGACUUGCCCACAUUUUCCCAGUCCUUGUCCAUGUCGUGCUUUGCCGGCAACCGCGUGGCCAUGUCGUCCCACCGGUGGAUGCCACCAGACGCCCCAGCAACGAC